rnacentral:snoRNA from 1 species
GCGCUGUCGGUGCCGCGCGUGGCGCCACUGCCCGGUUGCGCGAGAGUU